GAAUUAAUUAACCUUGGAGAAACUGCAGCAUUUGCUUGGUGGGGUUGGUGAGAGUGUUUAAGCUUGAAGGAUAAAAGAUUAGGUUGUUCCAUGUAGAAGGCGAGUGAAGAAGAAGAAGAAGAAGAAGAAGAAGAAGAAGAAGAAGAAGAAGAAGAAAGAGGGUGAGUGGAUUUGAAGGGAAAGAAUGAAGUGACAGUGUGCCGUGAAGACACAGUGGGGACGAUGUGAAGCAUAGGGAAAAAUAGGUGAGUGAUUUUGGUUUUUAGCGUUU
rnacentral:lncRNA from 1 species